rnacentral:lncRNA from 1 species
UUACCAUGCAACGGCCAUAUGGUACACCAUUACUUCAACCCUUUCCACCCCCUGCUCCCCCUUCAUCACUCACCCCAUCUCCAAACUAUGACCCAGUUAUUACAAGAGACAAAGUCCAUGAUGCAUUACUGAGGCUUGUGCAGGUAAUAUUUCCUGGUUCUAUGCUUUCUCCAUUUAUUUAUCCAAUUCUGAUAAUGUUAGUCUAGUCACAUUAGUAUUGCUGCUUAUUGCUUUUCUUGUAAUGAUCUAUUUUUUGAGGAUGGGAGGUGAGCAUAAUUUAAGUAGAGCUAUCCUAUUCCUGGAAAUGACUGGGACAUGACCUUGUUAGAAAUUUGAGUUCCUAAAUCGGGAAAGGUCCUGGAGUCAGGAAAAGCACUUACAGCAUGGCCACCAUCUAAGGUUGUUCAAAAUAGGCAUCUGAAUGUUUGGAUGUGUACUUAUAUGCAUGUGCAUGAGAAAUCUGAUUAUGUAUUCGUAUUAUGUUGUCUUCUCUUAGCCUCUCUUUGCUAGCUCCCCGUUUGCUAGUGAAAGGAUAUAGCCCUAAACA